rnacentral:piRNA from 1 species
UAGGAAAUGUGGAGAGCUCAUUGGGGU